GUGCCAUCCAUGUUGAUGGUGGCCCCCACGGGGAGCACGAAGCGCGCCACACGUCUGUCAAUGCCGUUGUUCUCCAGGAGACACUUGAGGGUGAUGGGCAGGGUGGCUGAGCUGGAGGACAAGAAAUGAGCAGUAAUUGCGCAUGAAGAUGACAACUGUCCCACAGGAACUGGGGUGAGGAAUGGAAGAAGAAGAACAGGUUGAAGAAAGGGAACCACAGAAAAGAAGUCCAUGGGAUUGCAACAGACUCUGGGAGGCGGGGACUGCAUUUGGGAAGGGCUCUGGAUGCAGAGCAAUGGCCUCAGCCCACAGACGUGAGGCUGGGACACUGGACAGGAUGUUAUCUCUGUGACAGUUCUCCCUCCCUUAGCUGGCUGCAGAGCAGAGGGAGGAAAAGCCUGAUGGAGACAGAGAUGGAGACCCAGGUUCAGGAUGAGACCAGAUUAUUAAGAGUUGCAGAAGCAACAGUUGCAGCAGUGGGCAUUGGGGAAGAGAGGCACAAUCCAGGUGGUUUUAUUGGGAUUAUGUGGAGAAGCAGCAGAGAGGCCAGAAAAACCCUGUGCCUGGUCAAAUGUGCUCCAGGAAAAUGUUUGAAUUUGUGUCUCCUGGAAAGGAUGCUAAUUGAUAGUGUGAAGUUUUUUUUCAUUGUUAUAAGGAAUGUAUUUCAAUGAAAAUAGAAUAGGUAAAUAUAAUCUAAAAUGAUUAAAAUCUUCUCAAAGUAGGCAAGAUUUUUCUGUGGAUGAACUUGAACACUGUAAUUGAUUUUAGAUUGUCAGUAAAGUGUUCAGAAGAGCUCUUGGUGUUUUCAGUUAAACUCCAGGAUCAUUACCCCAUGCAGUUUAUAAAGCACCUACAACAGUCCUGGUUUGAAUUAAUGGAAAGAAAACUGCAGGAAUCUAAUGAAGUGUGCACACACACACAAAAACAUUGCUGGUUUGCCCUGGGAAAACCCUGGGAGAGGGUGAGUGGAGCAGCACCAGGAGCUGCCCAGGUUGGCUGACCAGGGCAGGGCCAAGCAUCCUAAAAGCAGGAGCAUUCCCAUUUCAAGCAGUGCUGGAGCAUAAUUUUCUUUUGAGUUACAUCUGUCCCCCCAGCGCUCACCUGGCCAGACACAGCCAUGUCUCCCUGGCUAAACCACAGCCCCGCUCUGCAGUAUCCACAUGUUCCAGCCGUGUUUUCCUACCUGGAGGAUGUAGCUAAGGCGAUCAGCAAGGCUUGCAGUAUCCCCUGAAUGAAAGCAAAGGGGUUUUUCUUGGUGAUAAGCACAAAAAGCAGAGGUAAGAGGAUGACUCCAUGCAAGGCAAGCCCUGACACUACUGUAAUGACAUACAGUCCCAGCUUCUGUCCAAUAACCGAUGGAUCUUCCAUCUCCAAGAUCUUUCCAGCUAUGAGAAAUACAAUGCCAAAGGGGAAGUACCUGCAAAGAAGAAGCAUAAAAAAUUAAGAGGAUGCAGCAAUCACUGUAGCACUGCAGAUAGACAUGGCAGUGUUUGGUACUGUGCAGUACAACUGUAUCAAAACAAAUUCAGUGCUCACAACAGACACUUGCAGACGUGUGACUGGCACUGCCAUUAGAUAGAAGGAAAGAAAAGAAAUCAGUCAAUGAAUCAAAACCAGAUUUACCAAACGGCCAUCGAGACAAUUUUCAUAACUGCUUCAUUCAGACACUGGCACACGUUAACCAGCGGGGCUCCUCGCUCACCCAUUUUCCCCAGGAGAAGUCCUGCAAGCAAGCACAGCAGGUUAUUUUACUUGGGAGCACCACGGAGCAGCACCUCACAAGCGUCAAGUGUCUCGAGGGGCCACAGAAUGGGGGUCACCAGGCAAAACCUGAAUUAGUACUGGUUGCUGUGUGCUCUUAUGAGUCAGAGCCGUUCUCUGUUCCAAGCAAACACAAGGAUCUGGCCUUUUCUCACAAAGCCCCACCAGACCCAAAUCCAGGAUUGGGACUCUUCCUUGCACAGAAAACAGAUAAACUUCACUGCUGCUCAGUGCUGGAAGAGUGAUUUCCUAGGGUGGAUAAACUGUGGAUUAGCUGGAUUAGGUGGAUAUCUGGAUUGCUAUUUAGUAAUACAAGAAUAAUGACCUUUGAAAAUAAAAAUUGAAUUCUUUUAAGGAUAA